ACGUACACUCCUACGGGAGGCAGCAGUGGGGAAUAUUGGACAAUGGGCGCAAGCCUGAUCCAGCCAUGCCGCGUGAGUGAUGAAGGCCCUAGGGUUGUAAAGCUCUUUCACCGGAGAAGAUAAUGACGGUAUCCGGAGAAGAAGCCCCGGCUAACUUCGUGCCAGCAGCCGCGGUAAUACGAAGGGGGCUAGCGUUGUUCGGAAUUACUGGGCGUAAAGCGCACGUAGGCGGAUCGAUCAGUCAGGGGUGAAAUCCCAGGGCUCAACCCUGGAACUGCCUUUGAUACUGUCGAUCUGGAGUAUGGAAGAGGUGAGUGGAAUUCCGAGUGUAGAGGUGAAAUUCGUAGAUAUUCGGAGGAACACCAGUGGCGAAGGCGGCUCACUGGUCCAUUACUGACGCUGAGGUGCGAAAGCGUGGGGAGCAAACAGGAUUAGAUACCCCAGUAGUCCCAUGAU
rnacentral:rRNA from 1 species